UAACUAGUGUUGCUAAUUCGG
rnacentral:siRNA from 1 species